rnacentral:rRNA from 1 species
CGGCUCAGUAACACGUGGAUAACCUACCCUCAGAUCUGGGAUAACUCCGGGAAACUGGAGAUAAUACCGGAUAAUCCGUGAACGCUGGAAUGCCUUACGGUUGAAAGCUUUAGCGUCUGAGGAUGGGUCUGCGGCCGAUUAGGUAGUUGCUGGGGUAACGUCCCAACAAGCCGAUAAUCGGUACGGGUUGUGAGAGCAAGAGCCCGGAGAUGGAUUCUGAGACACGAAUCCAGGUCCUACGGGGCGCAGCAGGCGCGAAAACUUUACACUGUGCGAAAGCGCGAUAAGGGGACCUCGAGUGCGUGCGCAAAGCGUACGCUUUUCAGAUGCCUAAAAAGCAUCUGGAAUAAGGGCCGGGCAAGACCGGUGCCAGCCGCCGCGGUAACACCGGCGGCUCAAGUGGUGGCCGCUAUUAUUGGGCUUAAAGGGUCCGUAGCCGGACCAGUUAGUCCCUUGGGAAAUCUUACGGCUUAACCGUAAGGCUGCCAAUGGAUACUGCUGGUCUUGGGACCGGGAGAGGCAAGAGGUACCUCAGGGGUAGGAGUGAAAUCCUGUAAUCCUUGAGGGACCGCCAGUGGCGAAGGCGUCUUGCUAGAACG